CCUACGAUCAAGGGUUCCGAUUGGUACAGUCAACCAAUAACGACCUAAUGACAAGUAAAUACAUUUUUUCUGGGCCAACGUAAAUGAUAGGUUGGAUCGACGUGUUGGUAACAACACACAGCUCGAAUAAACGUCUCUGUAACAGUGACGCGGACACGUUUCACUAUCAAGGGCACAGCAGAAAGGCAAACCAAAGGUCUAGACAGAGGCCGUCCGGGGGCUGCUCCUGAAAAAGAUUGAUUCACAAUUUUAAUUUGCCUGUGUGAGUACGUUCUUUGAUGGAUUGGCACACUCUGUCUCCAAUGCUGCUUCUUGCCUUGUGUCCAAAUCAGUGGCGACAGGUGAUCUUUCAAACAGGCAAAUCAUUCCAAGAAGCUCUACAAGUAGACAUCAACAGAACAAAUGUUCCUGUCUACUCCUCAUCGCUGCUUCACAGACAGAUGAAACCCCUUAAUAGAAAAGGUGAUUGACAGCCCUACAAUCACUGACAUCAUCUCCUGGACACGCCCCUUCCAAUCAUCUUUCUUCAUAAACCAGCAAACCAGUUACUACUUCAGUUCUGUUUGGACUUGUGUGUGUAAAGACAUUUCUGAAACUAAAUGUGUGCUAAUUCACACAAAGAAAAGCCUGUCAGAUUAUACGAGGCUACCAAGGUGGUACCCCAACUCUUUAUCUGUGUUCUUUGUGUCAUCUCACACUAGAUUAUUAUUAUUCUAGCAGCAUUUGGUGUAAGGUAAGAAGAAUAUGUAGCAGUAUGCCAUUCCGUUGUCGGGCUAAAUUGCACACUCAAGUGGAAAACUGCAUGCAAUUCGGUAAUAGAAACCAAUAAAAAAAAGUCACAAUUUGACUAAACAUCCAUAUAAAACACUCUACUGUGAAUUUCCCCUAAGGAUUAAUAAAGUAUCUAUCUAUCUAUCUAUCU